GCCUGGCGCCGCUCUUCUAUCGCAGGUGGCUCUGCGGGGCCAGUUAGCGGUCGGAGCUGGCGUUUGUCACCCGCUGCCCAGCGUGGGCGCCCCGCCGGGUGUGAGCGCUCCCUCAGGUGCCCAUCUCUGAUGGCGGAGAGCGGGAGCGGCGGCCGCACGGGCGUUCCGGCCGCCAAGGGACCGGUGUCUCUUUUCUGGGGAGUGGGGGAGCCUUCCGGGUCGUGCGGUAUUGGGAAAAGCAACAGUACUCAUGGGUAAGAGAAAGGAAGAAAGUGUUCUAACUCCUGGGUCCCAGAAAAGGCAGAGAAAAGAAUACACAGAUAAACAAAGUGAUGAAUCUAAUGAUGAAGAAACUUUAGAAUUCUCAGCUAAUAGCGGUGCCUCUUCACAGCUGUCUGACGGUGAGGUUGGGAUAAUUGAAAGUAUCCAGCUGAAGAACUUCAUGUGCCAUUCAAACCUAGGGCCUUUUCAGUUUGGAUCAAAUCUCAAUUUUGUUGUUGGAACCAAUGGAAGUGGAAAAAGUUCUGUAUUAACAGCACUAAUUGUUGGACUUGGUGGAAAAGCCACUGCAACUAACAGAGGAUCCUCAUUAAAAAUGUUUAUUCAAAAAGGAGAGACUUCUGCAGAUAUUUCCAUAACUUUGCGAAACCAAGGAAGAGAUGCUUUUAAACCAGAAUUGUAUGGUACCUCUAUAACUGUGAAUCAGCGCAUUAAUCAGGAUGGAAGCAGAACUUGCAAACUGAAAAGCAAAUCUGGGUCCAUAAUUUCUUCAAAGAAAGAGGAACUCAUAGGAAUACUAGAUCACUUUAAUAUACAGGUAGAUAAUCCUGUGUCUGUUUUAACCCAAGAGAUGAGUAAACAGUUUUUACAGACUAAAAAUGAAGGGGACAAGUACAAGUUUUUUAUGAAGGCUACUCAGCUGGAACAAAUGAAAGAAGAUUAUUCAUUUAUCGGGAAAACUAAAAAAAAUACCCGUGUUCAGAUAGAACAAGGGGAAGAGCGUCUUGAAGAACUUAAGCAGCUUUAUUUGGAAAAGAAGGAAAUUUUCAAAAGCAUCGCGUCUGUGAAUGAAAUGCAAAAUCGUCUCAAAGAUUUGAAACAUCAAAUUGCGUGGGCAGUGGUGAGUGAGAUGGAAAAAGAAGUAGAGCUGCUCAAAGAAGGUAUCAAAGCUGAAGAAGGAAAUACAGAGCUCCUUCAGAAGGUCGAAGAAUGCCAGGCAAAAGUAAAUGAAGCAGAAAAAAAGUACAAAGCAAUACAAGACAAAUUGAUAACAGUAAGUGAAGAAGCACAAGGCCUUCAUCCUCAGUGUAUUUCUUUGAAGGCUGAAGUGCAGGCAAAAAGAAAAACAGUCAAUGAAACUGAGAUCAUUUAUAAUCGUUCCAAAACAGAGUUAAAACGUCUGGAGAAAGACAGUGAACAGCUACAUAAACGAAUUGAGGAACUGAAAAGCUGUGCUAAUCAGGUUUCAGAGCCUGAGAAAUUGGAAAGACAAAGGAGAAUUGCAUACUUAAGGGAACAGUUAAAGGCAUUCCAUGAUGAAGAAAUAAUGAUUGGUCAGCAGUUGGAUCAGUUUCAGCAGGCUAUAUCUAAGUGUAGGGAAGAUCAUUCUAGACUCAGGAGAGAAAGCAGUGAAGUGCAGCAAGCACUGGAUGCCCAGCAGAAGCAGCUGAGAGACCUGAAAGAUAGUAAAACAAACACUUUGAAAAGAUUUGGACCACAUAUACCAGCAUUUCUUGAAGCAGUUGAAGUAGCCCAUAGACAAGGACAAUUUAGAAAGAAACCUCUUGGACCUUUAGGUGCUUUGAUUCAUCCAAAAGAUCCUGAACUGAUCUUGGCUAUUGAAUCCUGUUUAAAAGGCCUUCUUCAGGCAUUUUGCUGUGAUAAUCAUAGCGAUGAAAGAACUCUUCAGUCACUAAUGUCAAAAUACUAUGCACGUGGACACAGACCUCAAAUAAUUGUAAAUAAAUUUCAGAAUAAAAUGUAUGAUACUAGUCAGAGAGCUGUUCGUCAUCCAGAAUUCCCAACAGUUCUGACAGCAUUGGAAAUAGAAAAUCCAGUGGUUGCCAAUUGUUUGAUUGAUAUGAGGAAUAUAGAAACAGUCCUGCUGAUUAAAAGUAGCCGUAGGGCUCGUGAGGUCAUGCAGGCCAAUCGGCCCCCGAGAAACUGUAGAGAAGCUUUCACUGCUGAAGGUGAUCAAGUAUUUGAGCGGCGCUAUUACUCUUCCAGUUUUGUCAGACCCAAGUUCCUAAGUCAAGAUGUUGAAGCAGAAAUCAGUCACUUGGAUAAGGAAAUUGAAAACAAAAGGGCACAGUUGACAGCCUCUCAGCAACGCUUACAUUCCAUUGAAGGUGAGAUUAGGCAGAAUGAAGAUCAUCUCAAUGGUCAUCGGCGACACCAAAAACAACUACAGGUAAAAAUAAGAACAGCAAAUGCAGAGAUAGCAGAUCUUGAAAACGUGGAAGAGCACCAGUCAGCAGACAUCCAUAUAUUACAAGACGAAGCUGAAGAAAAUAAGGGUAGGAUGGAAUCUGUGAAACAAGACAUGCAACUACAAAGCAGAAAAAUGGAAGAACUGAAAAACAGUCUCCAAGCAGCUGAAAAAAAAUUAGAAGAGGUGAAAGAUAAAAUUCAUCAAGUGGAAGAAAUUGCUGGCCCAAUUAAGGCUGAAUUAAACCAGGCUGAGUCAGAAGUGGAAAACAGUAAACGCCAUUUGCAGCGCUAUGAAGACAAACAGAGAGAACACGUGGCUUGCAUAAAUAAGCACAAAGACUUGCUAGUUUCCAAAGAAAAGGAAUUAGAGGAAAAAAUGGCAAAAGCAAGGCAAAUCUUCUCAGAGCCCAUCAAGGUCAGCAGAACUGUUAAAAGUCUUGAUGCAGAAAUGAAUCGCUUGAGAGAGAAGAUAAAUUUAGAAAGCAGUCACCGUGGAAACAGAGAAGAAAUAAUCCAGCAAUUUCAUUAUGCAAAGGAAAGAUAUGAGGAUGCAAGCAAUAAAGUAAAGAACUUAAGGAGAUUUAUUGCAGUGCUGGAUGAAGUGAUGGCAGAGAGGCUCAAAGUGUAUCGGCAAUUCCUAAGGAGCCUUUCUAUGCGAUGCAAACUCCACUUUGAGCACUUAUUACGUGCUCGAGGUUGCUCUGGACAUAUAAUUUUUGAUCACAAGAAUGAGACACUUUCCAUAACAGUUCAGCCUCGAGAGGAAGAAAAUGCUGUCCGUAGUGAUCUGAGAUCCUUAUCAGGAGGUGAACGUUCCUUCUCCACAGUUUGUUUCAUUCUUUCUCUGUGGAACAUUUCUGAAUCUCCUUUCAGAUGCAUGGAUGAAUUUGAUGUCUACAUGGAUAUGGUUAACAGAAGAAUUGCCAUCGACAUGAUUCUGGAGAGGGCUGAUUUUCAGCAGUAUCGACAGUUCAUUUUGUUCACCCCCCUGAACAUGAGUUCUCUGCCUACGAGUCCCCAUAUUCGAAUCCUCCGCAUGCCAGACCCUCCAAGAGACCAAAGAACUCUGAAUUUCCGAAAUAGGAACGAUGGAGAUGAAGAUCAAUAAGUAUCUCUGAACUUGAAAUUUUUGGCAACUCUCAAAAAACCCCCCACUUUUUAGAGUUCAGCUGCAUUUCUUUUUUAUUGUUUUGGGGGAUUUUUUGUUGUUUGAUGUUACGUGAAUACAAGAGCCAUUGAGACUACUCAGAGAACGACAUUCAGCAUUUUCUGCACUUUUUUACUGAAUAGCAGUUCCUCAAUAAAAUCUUAUUACAGUGCACUGAGGCUGGCAGACCUCGCACAGCCCAAGGGUAAUGGGCAGACUCCUGGCAGCUGUGAGGAGGUCACUGACAAAGAGCACCAGGCUUUUUGUUAAUGUGCAUGCUGCAAGAGACAGACAGCAGUCAUGGAUUGAAGUGGGGAGUUCUGGCUGAGCAAACCAGGAGGGAUUGUUCAUGAUGAAGGGUGAAGGUCCUCAGCAUUGGGAGCAUGGACCUCUUGGAGCAGGAUCAGAGGAGGCCACAAAGAUGCUCAGAGAGCUGGAGAACCUCUGCUAUGGAGACAAACUGAGAUUUUCAUCUGUUGAGUCCAGAGAAGGCUCCAGAAAGACAUCACGGCACCUUCCAGUACUUAAAGGGGCUACCAGAGAACUGGAGAAGGACUUUCUACAAGGGCCUGCAGUGGCAGGACAAGAGAGAGUGGCUUUAAGCUGACAGAUGGUAGAUUUAGAUUAGAUAUUAGGAAUAAAUUCUUUAUUGUUAGAGGGUGAUAAGGCACUGGAAUAGGUUGUCCAAAGAAGUUGUGGACACCCCAUUUCUGGAAGUGCUCAAGAUCAGGCUGGGUGGGGCCCUGAGCAACCUGUUUUAAUGCCUGCAGAGGGUUGGAACUGAAUCAUCUUUAAGGUCCCUUUCAACCCAAACAAUUCUUUGAUUCUAGGACAUGGUCAUGAGCCACAUGUGGAGCUUGACUCAAUUUUAUGAUUAAAUUGGGGUCAGUUUUAGACCUUUUUACAGUAUGGGAUAAAAUGGCAUUGCAUUAUUUCCUCCUGAUUCUUUUCAGUAUCCAGAAAAAAAAAAAAAAGGCAAAAGUGCAGAGGCAGAAAAGAGUAAAGCAUUUAUCUUCAUUAGUCUUCUAUAAUGAGUUUUGUGGAGAAAAGAGAUUAGGAAAAUUAAAGCAUUCCUACGGAGCUAACACUUCAGCUUUCUCCCAAGCUUUUAUAGACUUGAAAUAUUGGAGGAGGUGGAAACAAUUCUGGUCUUUCAUUCAAAUCAGUACUUUGUAUUUAUUUUAAUCUACCCCUGUACUUGAUGAAGAUGUGUUCUUGACUGUAUAAUUAUUAGAAGCAUAUUUUCAUGGUGGAGAAUUAAUUCUGAAUAAACAAUUACUGAAGCCCUUGCAUAGAUGCACUAAUUUUUGCAGUGAUCCUAUAAGGUUUCCAAACUAUCAUAUUCUUGGUUCUUUAAAUACAGAUUUUACUGUAGUGGCUGCCUAGAGAGAAGAUUGCAGUGCUGAUGUUACAUUUUUGAGUUUGACUGUGUUUUUGAGUUGUUGGCCAUUUUGGAUGGCAGUGCAUUGCUUAAUGCUGCUCUAAAGUAAAUGAAGCCUGUCUAGCUACAUAAAUUCAAUGUGCAGGGAAACAUAGAAUGAGAAAUUGCUUCUCAUGUAUGUAAACCAGAGGCAUAAAAUCUGAGAAGUAUUCAAUUUGGGGAUACCAUUCUCAGAAGUAUGUAAUUUCUAGAAUGUGUAUUUUAAGUUCUGGCCAAACGCAUGAAGUAUACUUCUCCCUAAUUUGCUAAUUAAUUCCCUAUUAUAUGUGUAGUCUAAGUAAAAUUCUGGUGUAGAAAUUGUAGUUGACAUUUCUGCUUUUGCUGUUUGGAAUGCAAAGCAACCCAAAAAUGAGAGUAUGGCUGUGGUUGUGGCAGCCAUUCUGUGAUUCCCCCCCACAACAACUCUUAGCAAGCUGUGUAACACUGCUUUCUGUUGCUUGUUUUCUUUUCCGUUUAAUUUUAAGAUGAGCUUUGCUUUUUAAAUUUGAAAAUACAGAGAAUUAUUUGGCUUGUGUCAUGUUUUAUUGUUUGAUUUUUAGCUAUUAAAAGUACGGUCUCGUUUCUUCAUAAGGUAAGGAAGAAAUAUCAAACAUGCAAUUGUAAGGUGUUCAGAUUGCUUUUUUUUUUUUUUUUUCCUUUUAAGCAAGCAACCAACUGUUUAAAGCAUCAGGGAAACAGGGCAUAGGGAGUUUCUUCAUCUGCAGUUUCUGCAGUCUGAUAGUUCUUCAUUCUUUCCCAAGGCUGUGCAGAAUUUGUCACAGGAUAGAGAGAAAUUGAUUUGUGCACACAGAAUUGAAUUGAGGAGGAAGUUGGUUCUCCUCACUAUCCCUCCUUUAUCAUCAUACUUCAUGGUUAAUUUAUCAGUAGUGAUUUUUAACAUCAUGUUUGUUUAUAUUAACCACAGAGUAGUUUAGUGUCAGAUGGUAAGAGGGAAGUCUCUUACUUCAGGAGGAAAAAAACAUUAAAAACCGGGUUUAGGCCAAGCAAAUAAACUGCAUUUCACUUACACAGCUUAAAAAUCAGCUCAGGUUUAGUAGCUGUGUGGGUAAAUCUUAGCAGCAGCAUCUUAGAGCAUCAACAGCUGCUCCAGCCUUAAAGACAAGAACUACAAUUUUUGGUUUUGUAUACUAUGACUCUUCUAGUGAGUGAGUGUAAAGUAGUUUUCUUCAUGCUUCAAUAAAGAAAUACAUAUUUCCCAGUGUGCAGUGACAGAUAAUUAAAAGAGAUUGAACUUUUUCUUUUUUUAUUACCAUGCUGAAGACAUGAAAUAAGAAUUAGGGGAAAAGGUCAAAUGUUAUAAAUUUAUUUUGGGACAUAUAUAUUGCAACCUCUGUGGAAGCUUUUGAAAAUUCUGGCAAAGAUCAAUACACUUCCAAUAAAACCUUUAAACUUGCAAUAAAACAAUAUUUUAAACAUUAUAUAUAUAUAUAUAUUUAUAUAUAUUUUUAAUUAAAGGGUUGAUUUUAGCAGGAUUUUCUUUUUUUUUUUUUUAAUAUACUGCAUUCCUCUGACAUAGCUCUUUCCAUAUUGAAGGGAUGCAAAUGAGGUAAGAAUUAAGGCAAACCUAAAAGGCAUGCAAAUGAAGUACAUUUAUAUCCACUGACAAUACAAGCACGUGUGGAUCAGACCUGGGAGCC